AUGCCAUUGUCGAAUCUUCUUUCUGUCACCACAAUUUUAUCCCAACUUUUGGCAUUUUUCACAAAAAUCUGGUCUCCAUUCAUAUUCAACAGGGUGCAUCAUCAUGUUACCUUCAGAGUUCUUAAUGGCAAUUUCAUUGAUAAGCUGUUGUGUGAUGUCCACUACAAUCAAGAUUCUAGCAUACGAUACACAGAGCUUUUUUUCGUACAUUCAUCAAUCACAAGUGGCUUACCUAUGGCACUGACAAUCUUGUUAAGGCUUCUGAUUCCCCAUAGAUGA